GUGAACGCUGGCGGUAGGCCUAACACAUGCAAGUCGCACGGCAGCACAGUAAGAGCUUGCUCUUACGGGUGGCGAGUGGCGGACGGGUGAGGAAUACAUCGGAAUCUACUUUUUCGUGGGGGAUAACGUAGGGAAACUUACGCUAAUACCGCAUACGACCUACGGGUGAAAGCAGGGGAUCUUCGGACCUUGCGCGAUUGAAUGAGCCGAUGUCGGAUUAGCUAGUUGGCGGGGUAAAGGCCCACCAAGGCGACGAUCCGUAGCUGGUCUGAGAGGAUGAUCAGCCACACUGGAACUGAGACACGGUCCAGACUCCUACGGGAGGCAGCAGUGGGGAAUAUUGGACAAUGGGCGCAAGCCUGAUCCAGCCAUACCGCGUGGGUGAAGAAGGCCUUCGGGUUGUAAAGCCCUUUUGUUGGGAAAGAAAAGCAGCAGGUUAAUACCCCGCUGUUCUGACGGUACCCAAAGAAUAGCACCGGCUAACUUCGUG
rnacentral:rRNA from 1 species